CAUACCUCGUCCUCAGCCUGAACCUGUAGAAUUCAGAAACUGGGUCAAAGAACUGGAGGGUUUUGUUUUAAGAUACUACUGCAAUUUCCUUGGCUUUUAGUUGAAAACUCACUGCUCAGCCCUAGGCAGUGAAAGAAGAAAAGAAGCCAAGAAAGAAGAAAAACCAAUACCAAAAGUAUCUGUCCAUUUUUGUCAAGAAAGCAGAAGUUUUCCCAGCGUUCCUGUUGUAAGACCUCUCCUUCCUACAGAGGAGGCACAGAUGAAAUUUGAGUAACAAGAGAUUAUCAGACAUGGGUGCUAAGGUGGCUUGAGCACUGGGCCUCUUUGUUCUGCCCCUGUUCUGCCCCUAUAGAAGCCCUAAGACCCAUUCCCACCAGAGCAAGGAAGAGGACAAAGCAAAAGCAAGCUACCAAAUAGGAAAAUGAACAGAAACAGUAGUUGGCUAUGGGGUGGGGCAUCUAUCAGGAACAGAGCAGAGUUCAGGAACAUUGCUGGAGUCAAGGGGCAGGAGUAGAGUUCAGUGCAAAAAGCUAGAGUUCAGGUGGUAACUUGAAGAGACUCAUGGUCUGCUCCACAGAUUUCAAGAUGCUCAAUUCUAUUUU